rnacentral:sRNA from 1 species
AAGUGAUGCAUGACGCGGACCAAUUGC